GAGGGGAAAUGUAGAGAAGGACUAAUGUUUUCUGGUUUGUGUAAUGUGUACCACAACAGCAAUGGAGUUAUGUUAAAGGUUUUUGAGUUCCCUCAGGCGCUCAGCAGGAACAAUCACCACAGAUGUUACUCUUUCAACUGAUGGGUAGUGAAAUAGUAAAGGAUGCGUUGGAGAACUGUGGCGCUCUGGCUCCUGCGAUGACUGACACUACCACCGGGGGACUACGGCUACCCAGCCGGUCAGCAGCCACCACUGUCAACAGUGUACUCAAUGAAAUAGUACUCAAUCCCUGGACAGGAAGCACCUACCAUCAGACAGGAAGUAUUCCACCUCCCCGUUGUUGCCCUCGUCUCCGUCCUGGGCGUGGAGCUUGUAGACCAGUGACCCGGCCAGGGCGUUGGGAGAUACCACUGCCAGGUAGG